GUGAGUGAGAGAGACAGCAGCACUAGUGUGACAUCAUCAGCUGCUCGUCACAAACACUGACAGCUGUCACUCUGAACACUCUGAACAGUCCAGAUGUGUUGCGUGUUGUCACAAAAUAUUAGCAUGUGUAAAAUGAGCUGUUCCUUUUUCCUGGAUAAUAUCUAUAACUUUGGCUGAUGGAAGCACUCAAAUCCACAAAGAGAAAGAAAGAGAUGAAGUGAUGAUCAGGGCUGCGCUCCACUUCUGAUUUGAAUGCUCUUUCCUCGCUAACUUCCUCCCUCCAGCAGAAAAAUAACAUCAAUACAAUCAACUCUGAUUGUGUAAAAACGAAUCGUAAGGCCUUCAGUAGAUCCUGACACACGAUCUGAUGCCUGAUCGUGAACUGAUGCCUAUAAUGCAAUGUGGUCCCGCUGUGCUAACGCCGCUAUAAACCCUGAGCUCCAGCACAACGCAUCACUUCCUGUCAGAGAAAUGGAGGAGCAGCCUGAAGCGAUCUGUCGUCCAGCAGCAGAGGAACAUGACGCUUUCGGGCAGACACGCAGCUUUCAGCUAAACAUUUAACCUCCUGCAUCUGUUCAUCUCUGGCGAGAGAUGCUGCUCAAAAAUAUUUGCUCAACGAGAUCGUGACACCAAGCUCACUUAUUUAACUCAAUGUCAUACUGACAAGGGCGUCACUGAAAUAUUCCUGAUAAAUCCUUAAGUGUCAAUGGGAUUGAUGUUUAUUUUCUCAAAUGUGUGUUUCCAUCAGAAACUGGCGAUGCCAGAUUCAUUAUUGAAUCACUCUCCUGAUCUAAUUGGCCAAACAGGUUUGCAAAUUCAUUCAGACAGUUCAUUUAUGCACUGGAUUGGUUUUUCA
ensembl:lncRNA